rnacentral:lncRNA from 1 species
UCUCAAGUUAACUUUCUGUUCUCUCUUGCAGAAUCAUGAAACCUGGAUUACUCAAACAAAUUUUGGGGCAGUCUUCUGACUCUUAAAUGCUUCCUGGAAAGACUUUGUGAAAAAUGAGCAGCCAAGCAGGAGGAGUCAAAGGUUGUGGUCCAGAGGAGAAGGAGCUCGUGGGCAGCAGGUUCUCCUCAGGCUGAGAGGAAGCUUCUUCCCUUUAAUAUUUCUCAGUUGGAUAGCUGGACACAAAUGUCUCACUACCCUGGAAAUGGACCCAAAGGAAUCAGGUCAGUAGGAUCUAUUAGUGCUAUUGAUAGAAAAGGAUUCUUCAAAACUCAGCACUCA